CGCCAUCUUGUUUCUCCCGACGCGGUUUCUUCGGUGGGAUCACGGAAGCAAGUGGCGGUUCCUGGAUUCUCCUUUGAGUUGACUGACGUGAUGGCUCUUUUCCCUGCUUUUGCGGACGCGGCUAAGCUCGGGGAGACGCCAGCGAGCGAGAGUGAGGGCUCAAAAAGAGAACUGAGCUGGCUUGCCAACCCAAGCUUCUGCAAUGAAGAUGCACUGAGGCUACACCAGCAUACUUUAGAGGUCACAGACCUUGUUUUGGAGAAAUCCACACUCCAAAGAACAACCUUCAAAUCGGAGCCAUCAGGAGAAACUGACGCCAGUGAAAGUUUCCAAAAAUCAGCUAAGAAAAGAAAGAAGAAGAAAAAACAGCGACAUCAUAAAAAAGAAAAGAGAACUAGAAGGGAUCAGAGCAGCAGUGGAUCAGACUCUGACCCCGAGGAUGUGAAAGGUGAUGGAAAUAAUGGCAGCAAAGGAGCAGAACUGAACUUAGAAGACAAAGUCUCCAGUGUGGGCAGUCAGUCUAUUUGGCUUGAUGAAGUCCAGGGUCUGACAUCAGAAGUAUUCAGAACAGAUAAGAAACCAGACCCUGCAAACUGGCAAUACAAGUCACUCUAUCGAGGGAACAUUGCAAGAUACAGGAGGAGGAGCAACUUCUGUCUUGGCAUUGAUGUAAAGAAGCAGUGGAUAUCCUGGGAAAGUUCUGUGGCAGAGAAAAAGCAAUCCCAUAAGCGACUUGAACGCUAUUUCACAAAAGGUGGCCUGAAGCUCUUGAGUCUAGAUGGCGUGCCCGUCUGUGGUAAAAGGCAGAGUUCUUCCCCUGGCUCAUGUACUUGGAUACCAGUUUCACAACUGGACAAAGAUGAUGUUCCUACUACAAGCUGUGUUAAUCCUCUUGGGGUUUAUGAUCCACUGACCACAUUAUGGCUACAAGGAAAAGGACCCCCUGAGCGUGAUGCACUAAAACGGCCUGAACCUCAAGAGAACUGUGAGAGUGGAAACUCUGGUCUAAUGACAAAAGUGGAAGAAUAUAACAGAAAGAUCAGAGAGAACCCCAGGGAUGUCAAAACAUGGAUGGAUUUUGUUUCUUUUCAGGAUGAACUCAUGAGAGGUCCCAGCUGUUACUCAGUCAGCGAGGGAGAGCGAGAAAUGAGAAAGAAAUCGCUCAAGCUAGUUCUUGAGAAGAAGCUGGCCAUUUUGGAAAGAGCUAUUGAAAGUAAUCCAAACGAUGUCGACCUAAAACUGGCCAGGUUGAAGCUCUGCACAGAGUUCUGGGAGCCGUCUGCUGUAAUCAAAGAAUGGCAAAAACUGGUUUUCUUGCAUCCCAAUAACCCAGUGUUGUGGCAGAAAUAUCUCUUGUUCUGUCAGAGUCAGUUCAGCACCUUUGCUGUCUUAAAAGUCCAUAGUCUCUAUGGCAAAUGCUUGAGCACUUUGUCAGCUGUCCAGGAUGGCAGUAUGGUGUCUCAUCCUGCACUGCCAGGCACAGAGGAAGCCAUGCUGGCCAUCUUUCUUCAGCAAUGCCAUUUCCUUAGGCAGGCAGGCCAUUCGGAGAAAGCUGUAUCUUUGUUCCAGGCCCUGAUUGACUUUACGUUUUUUAAACCUGAUAAUGUAAAGGAUCUGCCAACAAGGGGGCAGGUGGAGUUCUUUGAACCAUUUUGGGACAGCGGUGAGCCUCGAAUCGGAGAGAAAGGUGCAAAAGGCUGGAAGGCCUGGAUGCAUCAGCAAGAAAAGGGUGGUUGGGUUGUCAUCAAUCCACCUGAUGAAGAUGAGGAAGACAUAGAGGAAGAACAAGAAAUAAAGGAUAAAUCUCUGCCCAAAUGGCAAAACUGGCUGCAUAUUGAACGUUCCCGUGAAGCAAAGCACUGGUUGCCCUGGCGGCCGGACAAAACAAAGAAACAGACGUUAGAAGAUUGUGAAGAUCCAGAGAGACAGGUUUUAUUUGAUGACCUUGGUCCAUCAUUAAUACAAAUUUCCAGCCCAGAUCUUCAAUUUCAGCUGCUCUGCUCAUUUUUACAGUUUUUAGGGGUUCCAUGUGGAUGUAGUCUUCUUCCUACCUUCCUUUACACAGCAAUGGAUGAGAACAACAUAUUUGACAAUGGGCAGCACAACCAAGCAGGACCUCUGACUUCUUUUGACUUGCCACUCUCUGGAAUCAGUAGUAUUGGUCAUAUGGAUUCAAUGAUCCAAGGAAGAAAGCAAGUGGGACACUCUAAGGAAGGGGAAGAGCUCAUACAGAAUUUCUUCCAUAUGAUGCUGCCCCUGUUUUCAGGAAAGGAAAACUCUGACCUUUCCCUCUUUUGGCUUCAGUAUGAAAUCUCUAAGGUCAUUCAGUGUCUGAAAACUGAAAAUAAAAAGAAACUAAAAUCACAGGGCAAGAAGAGCAAAAAAUUAGCCAAAAACCUCCUUAAGGCACCCGAGAACAGAAACAACCUUUCUCUUUGGCAGUUGUAUGCUUAUCUGGAGUGGUUGCUUGGCAACACAGAAGAUGCUAGAAAAGUGUUUGAUAUGUCUCUGAGCAUGGUGGGAACUGCUGGAAUCCAAAACCCCCAGUUCUGUAAACUUGGCCUGCUUUAUGCUGAACUGGAAGUGGAGUUGCUGGGGACGCAAGAAGGAGCUCUGGAGUCGCGGGCUGUUCAUAUAUUGACUAAGCUGGCUGAAAGGGGUCCUUAUGCACCUUACAGUGGGCAAGCGUUAUCUGUGAAUAUUUUGAAAGCUCGGAAGACUUAUGAGCAUCUGCUCCAAGAUUACUUAAAUGAAAGCUGCUGCACCUCUAAUCAAGAACAGAUCAGCAGUUCCAGUCCCUUGGUUGGUUUGGUUGGUUGUUACACCCUUUUCCAAUAUUUAACUCUUGGGAUUGAUUCUGCAGUUUUAAUAUACAAGCAAGUUUAUGAAAAGCUUAAAGGCCACGGAAGGCUUGGCAGCCAGGAUUUUACCACCGCUCUUGAAGCGGUGACAUUGAUGCAUGCAAGUUUGCUCAGAUACCACAUGAAAAUGAACGUGUAUCCUUUGAAUCCCCUCCGAGAAGUUCUGUUGGGGGCUUUGAAGCUAUAUCCUAGCAACCAGCCUCUUUGGAGGGCAUACAUCCAGGUCCAAAGCAAGACUCACAAUGCUAGCAAAGCCCGGCGUUUUGUUGAUGGUGUCACGAGGACGACGAAAUCGCUAGAACCCUGGCUGUUUGCAAUCCGAGCAGAGCAGAUGAGGAAAAUGCUGGUAGAAAGUGUCCAGAGGGUAGCUACUGGAGACGUGUAUGCAACAAUUCCUGAAACUGGCUUAACCAAUCGAAUCAGAGCUUUAUUUGAACGUGCCAUCGAAACUGAAAAUGGUGCCCAUUGUCCAUUGCUGUGGAGACUAUAUCUGUACUUUAUGGUUUCUUUGGGAAAUAAGGAAAAAAGUAAAGGACUGUUUUUUCGAGCACUUCAAAACUGUCCCUGGACAAAAGUACUCUAUAUGGAUGCCAUAGAAUAUUUUCCAGAUGAGCUGCAAGAAAUGGUUGAUCUAAUGACUGAGAAAGAGUUGAGAGUACGAGUUCCAAUAGAAGAGCUGGAAUUGCUGCUUGAAGACUAAAGGAAGUGGUACCAAAAUUGAACUGCCAAGACAUACUUAAGAUGCUGUGACCAGACAUACAAGGAACAGAGCCAGAUAUACCCAGUAAAAUCAGCCGCCGCCAAAGGACAAGCUGUUUUCUCCCAGUUGGUUGCAGAUUUAUAGAAAAGGAGGCCAGAAACUAUCUGUAUCUUAUGUUACACAUCACUCCGAUUCAGUGGCUGAGCCUUCACAUGCUGUUGGAGUCACAAAAGUAACUCCAUACACCCGGGCAUUUAAAGAACGCUGCCUGGAACCUGCUAAAGCAUCUGCUUAGUUGGUUUAUAUUUACAACCAUAACAAAACACAGUAACCACUCAUGGACUGAAAUCUGGAGCAUAUGGAGGAGAGCUAAGUGUUUGCACUGGGGCCUUGUCUAUACCCAUGUAACUGGGACAGUUUAUUAUUGGAUAUGUUUGGAUAAGAAUUAGGCAGAGGGUUUUGUUUGCUAAGGCUAUUGGAAACAUAGUAACAAUUAUGUAGGUAUCUGAAUAACCUUUGUGCAUCACAGCUAGUGUUUCUGAUCAGAAGCAAUGGGGACAGUUGCUUUCGUGCUACUAGACGCCAAAAGGAAGCUGUGUAAAACAACUCACAGUCAUUAAAGCCUUUAAUUAAUUAUCUAUUAUUCCAUAAGUAUUGCCUCUCAACUGUUGCCUCAUGGUACAAUUAACUAAAUAAAAUUAACUUCUGACUGCUCUGAAAUCUAAUACAAGCUGUCAAUAACAAAGCUGCUAAAUAUUCAUUUGGGGGUGUUAUGAGGUCUGGUCACAAAGCAGGCCAUUAACUGGAUGUCAGAGGAGUCAAAAUAGUAUUCUUGUACAUAGGGAUGUUCCCUCCAGCAGAGGUACUUCAGUGGGGGAGGGGUGAUUCUGUUUCACUACAGGCUUUCCUCAAAGCAGUUGGUGUCCUCUUGUUUGCAAAAGUUUAUUUUCCUUCCUUCAAAUAAAAGGUGUAAAGCAA